CUACCCGCUGAGUUUAAGCAUAUCAAUAAGCGGANNAAAAGAAACUUACA
rnacentral:rRNA from 1 species